AGCCGCCGGCCGGGCAGCUGUGUGCAGCCUUCCCCGGCGCCUUGUUCGUAGAAAAAAAAAAACUACCAUUCCUUGUUCGUAGAAAAAUUCAUAUAUUUUCCCCUGCGUCCGGAGCUGUGUGACUCGUCUAGUAGCUCGAUCUGGUCUGUUGCGUAUGCUGAUGGAGUGAAUGAGCUGGCCGGUUUCGUUCGUCCAGUGGUACCCGCCGCCCGUGCUGUACGUGCCGCCGGUGUCGCCGCCUCACUUCCCGAAGCACAGGUCGGAGCAGCCGCCGCCGUUUUCGGUGCCCAUGCCGCCGGUCCCCGUGCCAACGCUGGUCCCGAUGCCGCCGGUGCCCGUCGUCGUCGUGCCCAUGCCGCCGGUGCACGUCGUCGUGCCCAUGCCGUCGGUACCCGUCGUCGUCCCCAUGCCGCCGGUGCCGGUCGUGCCCAUGGGAGGCGGGCGGCGGCCACGAACGGGGGGCAUGCCGCCGAUGGGCCGCGUUCCGAUGCGCGGCCGCCGCAUGGGGCGCGUCGGGCGCGGUGUGGUGCCACCCGUGUACCCUAGCAUGGUGUGGCCCGUGCCGCCGCCCGUGCCCGUGCCGAUGAGGCCGCCCUUCGUGUACCCGCCGCCGUUCGUGCCGCCGUCCUUCACCUUCACUUCACCGGCUAUCCGCUAUCGGCGGCCAGCCAGCGGGCGCGCGAGUGCAUUCGUGGACGACGCACGGAAUCGAUUCAUAUUGUUGCCUACGAGGCAUACAUGCAUAUGCAUGCAUUUAUUUCCCGUUGCAUGCGCGGUGCGCGCACACGCAUGCAAUCGAAUAGCGGACUCGACCACCAAGACACAUCACUACGACACUCGCACCACACACACUGCUGGGUCAUGUUUUAUUUCGGAUGUCGAGCAUGAUAUACAUGGCUCGUUAUAACAUAAACGUGGCACAGUACACAGCACAUAUGCUAGGCUCACAUGAUGUCAGAUGUAGAGUGUUUGUUUGAUUUAUGAGGGACGAUUUAGUCGUUAUACUUUGCCUCGCUGAUGACAGAAUACAUACAUGCCUAUCCUACUACGCUUUGAAGGGAUUGAAAAAGAAAGUUAGUCCGUUCGGGAAAAGGUAAUUAAAGAGGUGACGUCUGAAUGUGUUGAACUCUCCUUUUGACUGAUUCCCGUAGAAGUUACCACUGAGCGUUUAAAAGAGGGCGUAGGCAGGCACCUAUCCCUGGUCAAACGCCUGUAGCUACGCCCUCCGGUGGUAGGUUACGAUU
rnacentral:rRNA from 1 species